GCUUUAUGUCUAGCUCAGGGAUUGUAAAUAUACCAAUCGGCACUCUGUAUCUAGCUCAAGGUUUGUAAACACACCAAUCAGCACCCCUGUCUAGCUCAGGGUUUGUGAAUGCAAUCGACACUCUGUAUCUAGCUACUCUGGUGGGGACUUGGAGAACCUUUGUGUGGACACUCUGUAUCUAGCUAAUCUGGUGGGGACGUGGAGAACCUUUAUAUCUAGCUCAGGGAUUGUAAACACACCAAUCAGCGCCCUGUCAAAACAGACCACUCAGCUCUACCAAUCAGCAGGAUGUGGGUGGGGCCAGAUAAGAGAAUAAAAGCAGGCUGCCCAUGCCAGGAGUGGCAACCUGCUCGGGUCCCAUUCCACACUAUGGGAGCUUUGUUCCUUCACUCUUUGCAAUAAAUCUUGCUGCUGCUCACUCUUUGGGUCCACACUGCCUUUAUGAGCUGUAACACUCACUGCGAAGGUCUGCAGCUUCACCACGAACCCACCGGGAGGAACGAACAACUCCAGAUGCGCCGCCUUAGGAGCUGUAACACUCGCCGCGAAGGUCCGUGGCUUCACUCCUGAGCCAGCGAGACCACGAAGCCCACCAGAAGGAAGAAAUUCCGAACACAUCCGAACAUCAGAAGGAACAAACUCUGGACACGCCACCUUUAGGAACUGUAACACUCACCGCGAGGAUCCGCGGCUUCAUUCUUGAAGUCAGUGAGACCAAGAACCCACUAAUUCCGGACACACAGGGACAGCAAUCCACUGCUUGCCUUGAUGUACGAUUGAAGCCUAUCACCCCUUCUGCAGCAGUGGCUCCAGAGAGCAUCAGUAAAGAUGGCAAGAUUGAAAUCCAAGCAACAGAAUUUCCACUGAAUAGAAAUUUCUGAGGAAAGUGUAAGGACAGGUGUGAGAAUUCUGGUGGCAAGGAUGAGGAAGCAUCCCCCUUCCCAAACAGGAAAGAAGAGCCAAGAGACCUGAAAAGGAGCUGGAGCCAAGAAGGUGAAAAGGUGAGAGUUCCCAUUGCAAAUAACCUUCUCUCUGUAAAUAAAAAUGGAAAGGCACCUGCUGAAAGAUGGGAGACCAUGUGUGAAUUUGGGAAUCUGAGUAAUAAUAAAGCUGUUCCUAACAGUGACUGUGCAGUGCAGCACAAAGUUGCCAGGCUGCUAAAUUUGGGUUACAGAAAUUUGUGAAGAUGCCAAUUCAGGUUUUUUUGUUUUUAUUAAGAAGGAUACUAGCAAUUCUUAAAUCUGUCAGAUCAGAUUAUCUUAAAAUUUCUGAAGGCUUUUUUUCCACACAAACAAAUAAAUAUUUAUAAAAUGAACUAUAUGCUCAUACCCUUAGUGAAAAUAUAUGCACAUCAAUUUAUGACUUGUGUAAGUCAAUUACUAAUUCAAUUACUAAUGGGAAAUUGGAUGAACUCAGUAAAACUGUCUUAACUAUGUCUCUUGAGUUUCUUUUUCUAUUACAUGCUAAAUUACAAUAAAACCUUGACUACCUA
rnacentral:lncRNA from 1 species